rnacentral:rRNA from 1 species
CGAUGGGUAGCCGGCCUGAGAGGGUGAUCGGCCACAUUGGGACUGAGAUACGGCCCAGACUCCUACGGGAGGCAGCAGUAGGGAAUUUUGCGCAAUGGACGAAAGUCUGACGCAGCAACACCGUGUGAGGGACGAAGCAUUUCGGUGUGUAAACCUCUGUCGAUGGUGAGUAAUGUUUCGGGGAGUGGAAAGCCUCGGAAUUGAAGGUAGCCAUGAAGGAAGCACCGGCUAACUCUGUGCCAGCAGCCGCGGUAAUACAGGGGGUGCAAGCGUUGUUCGGAAUCACUGGGCGUAAAGGGAGCGUAGGCGGAACUACAAGACAGAGGUUAAAUCUCCGGGCUCAACCUGGAACUUGCCUUUGUGACUGUGGUUCUUGAGUAUGGUAGAGGUUAGUGGAAUUUCCGGUGUAGCGGUGGAAUGCGUAGAGAUCGGAAAGAACACCAGAGGCGAAGGCGACUAACUGGACCAAUACUGACGCUGAGGCUCGAAAGCGUGGGGAGCAAACAGGAUUAGAUACCCUGGUAGUCCACGCUGUAAACGAUGAACACUAGAUGUCGGGGAGUUGAUUUCCCGGUGUCGGCGCUAACGCAAUAAGUGUUCCGCCUGGGGAGUACGCUCGCAAGGGG